rnacentral:rRNA from 1 species
GACGAACGCUGGCGGCGUGCCUAACACAUGCAAGUCGAGCGAAGAAUACAUAAAGAAAUCUUCGGAUGGAAUUAUGUAUUUCUUAGCGGCGGACGGGUGAGUAACGCGUGAGGAACCUGCCUUGUACUAGGGGAUAGCCUCGGGAAACCGGGAUUAAUACCCUAUGAUACUUGAAAGUCGCAUGACUUUCAAGUCAAAGCGAUUUAGCGGUACAAGAUGGCCUCGCGUCCCAUUAGCUAGUUGGCGAGGUAAUAGCUCACCAAGGCGACGAUGGGUAGCCGGCCUGAGAGGGUGAACGGCCACACUGGAACUGAGACACGGUCCAGACUCCUACGGGAGGCAGCAGUGGGGAAUAUUGCACAAUGGAGGAAACUCUGAUGCAGCGACGCCGCGUGAGCGAUGAAGGUUUUCGAAUCGUAAAGCUCUGUCCUAAGGGACGAUAAUGACGGUACCUUAGGAGGAAGCCCCGGCUAACUACGUGCCAGCAGCCGCGGUAAAAGUACU